AUACGGAGGAUCCGAGCGUUAUCCGGAUUUAUUGGGUUUAAAGGGAGCGUAGGCGGACGCUUAAGUCAGUUGUGAAAGUUUGCGGCUCAACCGUAAAAUUGCAGUUGAUACUGGGUGUCUUGAGUACAGUAGAGGCAGGCGGAAUUCGUGGUGUAGCGGUGAAAUGCUUAGAUAUAACGAAGAACUCCGAUUUCGAAGGCAGCCUGCUUGACUGUAACUGACGCUGAUGCUCGAAAGUGUGGGUAUCAAACAGGAUUAGAUACCCUGGUAGUCCACACAGUAAACGAUGAAUACUCGCUGUUUGCGAUAUACAGUAAGCGGCCAAGCGAAAGCGUUAAGUAUUCCACCUGGGGAGUACGGCCGCAAGGUUGAAACUCAAAUGAAUUGGCGGGG
rnacentral:rRNA from 1 species